UACAGAGGGGGCAAGCGUUGUUCGGAAUUACUGGGCGUAAAGGGCGCGUAGGCGGCCUGUUAAGUCGAACGUGAAAUCCCCGGGCUCAACCCGGGAACUGCGUCCGAUACUGGCUGGCUUGAAUCCGGGAGAGGGAUGCGGAAUUCCAGGUGUAGCGGUGAAAUGCGUAGAUAUCUGGAGGAACACCGGUGGCGAAGGCGACUCUUUGGCCUGUAACUGACGCUGAGGCGCGAAAGCGUGGGGAGCAAACAGG
rnacentral:rRNA from 1 species